AGUAUUAAAGGUCAUGCCUGCCCAGUGAAAUAUUUUUAACGGCCGCGGUAUUCUAACCGUGCAAAGGUAGCGUAAUCAUUUGUCUUCUAAAUAAAGACCAGUAUGAACGGCUAAAUGAGGACAAACCUGUCUCCUACAACCCAUCAGUGAAACUGAUCUCCCAGUCCAAAAGCUGGAAUAUUAACAUAAGACGAGAAGACCCUGUGGAGCUUAAAAUAAAGUCACUAACAAUAGACAACUAGUACAAAUUUUAAGUUGGGGCGACUUCGGAACAAAACAAAACUUCCAAGCACAGAACCACUAUUUCUAACCAAGGCCUACAAGCCAAAGAUAAAAGUUGACCCAGUCAUACUGACCAACGAACCAAGUUACCCCAGGGAUAACAGCGCUAUCUUCUUCAAGAGUCCAUAUCGACAAGAAGGUUUACGACCUCGAUGUUGGAUCAGGGCACCCCAAUGGUGCAACCGCUAUUAAAGGUUCGUUUGUUCAACGAUUAACAGC
rnacentral:rRNA from 1 species